UGCAAGUCGAGCGGAGAGAUGUAGCUUGCUACUGAUCUUAGCGGCGGACGGGUGAGUAAUGCUUAGGAAUCUGCCUAUUAGUGGGGGACAACAUUCCGAAAGGAAUGCUAAUACCGCAUACGCCCUACGGGGGAAAGCAGGGGAUCAUUAGACCUUGCGCUAAUAGAUGAGCCUAAGUCGGAUUAGCUAGUUGGUGGGGUAAAGGCCUACCAAGGCGACGAUCUGUAGCGGGUCUGAGAGGAUGAUCCGCCACACUGGGACUGAGACACGGCCCAGACUCCUACGGGAGGCAGCAGUGGGGAAUAUUGGACAAUGGGGGGAACCCUGAUCCAGCCAUGCCGCGUGUGUGAAGAAGGCCUUUUGGUUGUAAAGCACUUUAAGCGAGGAGGAGGCUACUCUGGUUAAUACCCAGGGAUAGUGGACGUUACUCGCAGAAUAAGCACCGGCUAACUCUGUGCCAGCAGCCGCGGUAAUACAGAGGGUGCGAGCGUUAAUCGGAUUUACUGGGCGUAAAGCGUACGUAGGCGGCUUUUUAAGUCGGAUGUGAAAUCCCUGAGCUUAACUUAGGAAUUGCAUUCGAUACUGGGAAGCUAGAGUAUGGGAGAGGAUGGUAGAAUUCCAGGUGUAGCGGUGAAAUGCGUAGAGAUCUGGAGGAAUACCGAUGGCGAAGGCAGCCAUCUGGCCUAAUACUGACGCUGAGGUACGAAAGCAUGGGGAGCAAACAGGAUUAGAUACCCUGGUAGUCCAUGCCGUAAACGAUGUCUACU
rnacentral:rRNA from 1 species